rnacentral:rRNA from 1 species
UACGGAGGGUGCGAGCGUUGUCCGGAAUCACUGGGCGUAAAGGGCGCGUAGGCGGCGCGGGAAGUCAUCGGUGAAAGUUCAGGGCUCAACUCUGAAUCGGCCGGUGAUACUCUCGUGCUUGAGCACUGUAGAGGCAGGUGGAAUUCCGGGUGUAGCGGUGGAAUGCGUAGAGAUCGGGAGGAACACCCGUGGCGAAGGCGGCCACCUGGGCCGACCCUGACGCUGAGGCGCGAAGGCGUGGGGAGCGAACGGG